rfam:Pontibacillus litoralis JSM 072002 contig1, whole genome shotgun sequence.
UGAGGCAAGUAGAGGCACCCGCUUCUCACCUGAUUGACGUUCUAAUGUUAGAAUAGUUGACGGGUUUUCCAGUUAAUACGAACGGGAACGUGUGGGUGCAGUAUGUGUACCGACACUUUUUUAUGUUU